rnacentral:rRNA from 2 species
GCGGACGGGUGAGUAACACGUGGGUAACCUGCCUGUAAGACUGGGAUAACUCCGGGAAACCGGGGCUAAUACCGGAUGGUUGUUUGAACCGCAUGGUUCAGACAUAAAAGGUGGCUUCGGCUACCACUUACAGAUGGACCCGCGGCGCAUUAGCUAGUUGGUGAGGUAACGGCUCACCAAGGCGACGAUGCGUAGCCGACCUGAGAGGGUGAUCGGCCACACUGGGACUGAGACACGGCCCAGACUCCUACGGGAGGCAGCAGUAGGGAAUCUUCCGCAAUGGACGAAAGUCUGACGGAGCAACGCCGCGUGAGUGAUGAAGGUUUUCGGAUCGUAAAGCUCUGUUGUUAGGGAAGAACAAGUGCCGUUCAAAUAGGGCGGCACCUUGACGGUACCUAACCAGAAAGCCACGGCUAACUACGUGCCAGCAGCCGCGGUAAUACGUAGGUGGCAAGCGUUGUCCGGAAUUAUUGGGCGUAAAGGGCUCGCAGGCGGUUUCUUAAGUCUGAUGUGAAAGCCCCCGGCUCAACCGGGGAGGGUCAUUGGAAACUGGGGAACUUGAGUGCAGAAGAGGAGAGUGGAAUUCCACGUGUAGCGGUGAAAUGCGUAGAGAUGUGGAGGAACACCAGUGGCGAAGGCGACUCUCUGGUCUGUAACUGACGCUGAGGAGCGAAAGCGUGGGGAGCGAACAGGAUUAGAUACCCUGGUAGUCCACGCCGUAAACGAUGAGUGCUAAGUGUUAGGGGGUUUCCGCCCCUUAGUGCUGCAGCUAACGCAUUAAGCACUCCGCCUGGGGAGUACGGUCGCAAGACUGAAACUCAAAGGAAUUGACGGGGGCCCGCACAAGCGGUGGAGCAUGUGGUUUAAUUCGAAGCAACGCGAAGAACCUUACCAGGUCUUGACAUCCUCUGACAAUCCUAGAGAUAGGACGUCCCCUUCGGGGGCAGAGUGACAGGUGGUGCAUGGUUGUCGUCAGCUCGUGUCGUGAGAUGUUGGGUUAAGUCCCGCAACGAGCGCAACCCUUGAUCUUAGUUGCCAGCAUUCAGUUGGGCACUCUAAGGUGACUGCCGGUGACAAACCGGAGGAAGGUGGGGAUGACGUCAAAUCAUCAUGCCCCUUAUGACCUGGGCUACACACGUGCUACAAUGGACAGAACAAAGGGCAGCGAAACCGCGAGGUUAAGCCAAUCCCACAAAUCUGUUCUCAGUUCGGAUCGCAGUCUGCAACUCGACUGCGUGAAGCUGGAAUC